rnacentral:rRNA from 1 species
CGGACGGGUGAGUAAUGUCUGGGAAACUGCCUGAUGGAGGGGGAUAACUACUGGAAACGGUAGCUAAUACCGCAUAACGUCGCAAGACCCAAGAGGGGGACCUUCGGGCCUCUUGCCAUCGGAUGUGCCCAGAUGGGAUUAGCUAGUAGGUGGGGUAACGGCCCACCUAGGCGACGAUCCCUAGCUGGUCUGAGAGGAUGACCAGCCACACUGGAACUGAGACACGGUCCAG